UUAAAGGGACUGUCUAGCUCAGUAGUCUGCAUAUUAGUUGCAGUAGUUGGCGCACCUCUCCUAUCUCUGAUUGUUCUAGGGGUCUUCUGCCAGAGGUUACCUCAGCAUAUGUAGGCUGACGAUCUGACUGAUACAUGGUGUGGACUGCAUCAUGUGGUCUACUUCCCUGAAGGGCAGUGUUCUGACCGACCCUGGAGUAGUGGUCAGAGCUGUUUUGUGAUGGGUCUGGUCUGGUAGAGCUGUGUUGUGAUGGGCCGGGUCUAGUAGAGCUGUGUUGUGAUGGGCCGGGUCUAGUAGAGCUGUGUUGUGAUGGGACGGGUCUAGUUGUGCUGUCCUGAGGCGGGUCUGGUCUGGUAAAUAUGUGCUGUGUUGGGCCUGGUCUAGUAGAGCUGUGCUGUAAUAAGCCAUGUCUGGCUCUUUUCUCUUCGGGAUGGUGGAGGUACUGUUGUUUCAGAAGGUGGGGUGGGGGACCUCUGUAGCUGGGGUGAUGGGUGUGUGGGUCCCUGCCAAGUGUUGCAUCUUUUAGGUCCUUGGCAAAGGUUCUGAUACUGUCCUGAUCAAGAUGUAUAUUAUCAUAUAAGUGUUGACAUGUCAGAGUGGGGUGGUGAGCCGUUCUGACGUUGAGCAGUGAGGCACAGUCCACAGUGAUCUGUUGAUUUAUUUUGUCGAUCAACUUUCCUGGGAAGUCUUUUCUUGGUAGGAGGGUGGACACAACUAUAUUGGUUGUUGGGAACACAGCCUGUGCCCGUUCUGCCAC
ensembl:lncRNA